rnacentral:rRNA from 1 species
UACGGAGGGUGCAAGCGUUAUCCGGAUUCACUGGGUUUAAAGGGUGCGUAGGCGGGCAGGUAAGUCAGUGGUGAAAUCCCCGAGCUUAACUUGGGAACUGCCGUUGAUACUAUCUGUCUUGAAUACUAUGGAGGUAAGCGGAAUAUGUCAUGUAGCGGUGAAAUGCUUAGAUAUGACAUAGAACACCAAAUUGCGAAGGCAGCUUGCUACACAGUUAUUGACGCUGAGGCACGAAAAGCGUGGGGAUCAAACAGG